UACAGAGGUCCCGAGCGUUGUUCGGAUUCAUUGGGCGUAAAGGGUGCGUAGGCGGUCUGCUAAGUUUGGUGUGAAAUCCCGGGGCUCAACCCUGGAAUUGCAUUGAAUACUGGUGGACUAGAGUACUGGAGAGGAAGCUGGAAUUUACGGUGUAGCAGUGAAAUGCGUAGAGAUCGUAAGGAAGACCAGUGGCGAAGGCGAGUUUCUGGACAGUAACUGACGCUGAGGCACGAAGGCCAGGGGAGCAAACGGG
rnacentral:rRNA from 1 species